CAGUCGCCGCGGUAAUACGAAGGGGGCUAGCGUUGUUCGGAUUUACUGGGCGUAAAGGGCGCGUAGGCGGGCGAAUCAGUCAGGGGUGAAAUCCCAAGGCUCAACCUUGGAACUGCCUUUGAUACUGUUUGUCUUGAGUUCGAGAGAGGUAAGUGGAACUGCGAGUGUAGAGGUGAAAUUCGUAGAUAUUCGCAAGAACACCAGUGGCGAAGGCGGCUUACUGGCCCGAAACUGACGCUGAGGCGCGAAAGCGUGGGGAGCAAACAGGAUUAGAGACCCCGGUAGUCCCUGUCUCUUAUAC
rnacentral:rRNA from 1 species